rnacentral:rRNA from 1 species
CCUACGGGCGGCAGCAGUGAGGAAUAUUGGUCAAUGGCCGAGAGGCUGAACCAGCCAAGUCGCGUGAGGGAAGACGGCCCUACGGGUUGUAAACCUCUUUUGUCGGGGAGCAAAGCGAGUCACGUGUGACUCAUUGAGAGUACCCGAAGAAAAAGCAUCGGCUAACUCCGUGCCAGCAGCCGCGGUAAUACGGAGGAUGCGAGCGUUAUCCGGAUUUAUUGGGUUAAAAGGGUGCGCAGGCGGAGGUGCAAGUCAGCGGUAAAAUUGCGGGGCUCAACCCCGUACUGCCGUUGAAACUGCAUCCCUUGAGUGCGCGAGAAGUAUGCGGAAUGCGUGGUGUAGCGGUGAAAUGCAUAGAUAUCACGCAGAACUCCGAUUGCGAAGGCAGCAUACCGGCGCGCAACUGACGCUGAGGCACGAAGGCCUGGGGAGCGAAAGGGAUUAGAUACCCGUGUAGUC